rnacentral:lncRNA from 1 species
CUUGCUCAACUCUAGCUUAUUUGAAUUCAUGUAGUGAUCUUAACCUAACACGCAGAUUAUUACAUACUUCAGAAUUUUAUUCAUAACUUUUAGUGCCAUGUUACCUAUUUCCUUUAAAAAAAAAAAUCUUUUGAGCUUACCACAUCGUCUUAACCUUUUCUUUGACAUCACAAAGUCAUUUUAUGACAGUCAUUAUCACACAUUAAAUAUUGUAAAGGAAAAAACUGUUAGAUUUUAAAAGAAAAAUAAUUUUUAAUUUAUUGGAGUCCUGGAAAAAAAAGUGACUUCAUAAUCUGUUGAUGUCUGUUGUCAUAGUUAGCUGACCAGGCAGGUGAUGUGGCUGGUACAGGCAUAGAUUCCUGUCAAAAUAUAAGGAAUUUGUUUUCGAAGUGUGCUUGUCUGUGUAAAUAGGUUUUAGAGGAAAACUAGUGACAAAUUUAUCAUAAUUUCAGCAGCGCUUGACUUUUAGUUACCUCCUAUGAACAGCAACUAACUCUAGCAUAUAAUAGCAGAUCAGGUAUUGAAUUGCAUAAUCUGAGGUAGUAAUUGCAUAUAACAUUAGAGAAAGGAGCUUGUUAGCUCCAGAUCAGAGAAUUUUACCGUAGUCAGUAGCUGUUACUAGAACUUGUAGUGAGUGUUAGAUAUGAAUAUGUUGUAUAUGGGUGUGGUGAAGAAGAUAAUAUUUCUACGAUAUCGAUGUUUGAAUAUGUGCCGGACACAGUUACUGAACUUUGAUAUAUGGAAAAAAAAGCGCUCAAAUGACAGCACUUAAUUCAU